CGUCAACGAGAGCCGGUUGCUUUGCAUGCUUCCGCAACGGGGACUGAUUUCCUUUGUUGGAGACCUUCCUUGCUGGCUGUUGAGAAAUUGGGCUUCUGUAAGAGGAAAAGAGGUUCUGGGCUGAUGUGCACAAACAUCAGAGUCUUUGCUUGACCUCCUGCAGUUGAAACCAUACCAGAAUUUUGAAUCUGAGUGCUCUAAGGGAACAUGUGGGCUCUUUCGAGCAAGAGAUGAUAUUACAUCUCCUAGAGCAGAUAGAGACCGAUUGAUAUGCUGAGCCUCCUUCAAUCUAUCUCCGGAAGCCUCGGUUUUGUCCACUCUUUCACUUCCGGCGAGAUCAACCAGAUGCAUGCAACCACGUAGGGUUGAACCGGACGUCAAAUUUCUUCCUUGAACAUGGACUGUUAGGCAGCUGCAGUAUCACCAGUGUAAGCUUUGCAGGUUCAAAAUAAAUGGAUACCAUCAUUUGUUCAAAUUUUAUUAAGUUUCUAACACAAACACACACAGUCACACUAUUUAAUUAUCAUGUUGAGUUAACAGGCCAAAAAUAAUGAAAAACAUAGGGGAGCAAAAGGUACCUAUGAGAUCGACUGCUUCGAUCAUUCAUAGCUGUAGAACCAACUGCACGAUUUUUGUGCCCAAGGUUCAUCAAGUUGAUGACAUCAGAUGGAGAUGUAACAGAAAUGACGGAGAGGAUAUGAUAGAGGUGGUGUUUCGAAGGAAGAUUCUAUUCGGGUAAUGAAUAUGACAAUCACCUUGGCUUGAAGAUGGACCAAACACCCUGUUGAAAGUAAACGAUUUCUUCCCCUUCACAUAUUUUGAAGAGGUGAGUACUGUAAGUGUUUGUUCGUCGGUUGCUUCCACACAGCUUGAACCGGGGGGGUUCUCCGGCAAAAAAGGGCGUAUCCGGCAAUACACUCUUAUAUUUCCUGUGGAGUGCAUUCACAGAUCCUCACUAAGACAAUGUGUUGAUGGUUUGCACCAAUUCUGUGUUUAGAUACCAACAAAUAGAGGUUUACCUCUGAGAUCUUGCACUUGAUUGUAUAAUUUGCGGUUCUCCUCAAGAACUUUUUGGUAUCCAGAAGCUGCAUGAGCCAGGCUGUAAAGUUGCUUUCCUAUCAUCAUACAGGAACAGAGUGGAGUGUACUUUUGAGUUCCUACACAAUGAGAAAGAAGUCGGGUUACUCUCCAAAUUAGAGAUGGAAAGAUUCUUUUUUGGCUUAUGAGAUUACCU